ACAUAUAAAGCAAUUUGCAGUUAGUUUCGACCUAAAAGAUAGAUUAAAGUUAAUCUAUAUGUA
rnacentral:tRNA from 1 species